GUUGUUAAAGCGUGGAGCUUAACUCCAUUUCAGCAAUGGAAACUGUAAGACUAGAGUGUGGUAGGGGCAGAGGGAAUUCCCGGUGUAGCGGUGAAAUGCGUAGAUAUCGGGAAGAACACCAGUGGCGAAGGCGCUCUGCUGGGCCAUAACUGACGCUCAUGGACGAAAGCCAGGGGAGCGAAAGGGAUUAGAUACCCCUGUAGUCCUGGCCGUAAACGAUGAACACUAGGUGUCGGGGGAAUCGACCCCCUCGGUGUCGUAGCCAACGCGUUAAGUGUUCCGCCUGGGGAGUACGCACGCAAGUGUGAAACUCAAAGGAAUUGACGGGGGCCCGCACAAGCGGUGGAGUAUGUGGUUUAAUUCGAUGCAACGCGAAGAACCUUACCAGGGUUUGACAUCCUGCGAAUCCCUUGGAAACUUGGGAGUGCCUUCGGGAGCGCAGUGACAGGUGGUGCAUGGCUGUCGUCAGCUCGUGUCGUGAGAUGUUGGGUUAAGUCCCGCAACGAGCGCAACCCACGUCUUUAGUUGCCAGCAUUUAGUUGGGCACUCUAGAGAGACUGCCGGUGAUAAACCGGAGGAAGGUGUGGAUGACGUCAAGUCAUCAUGCCCCUUACAUCCUGGGCUACACACGUACUACAAUGCUACGGACAAAGGGCAGCAAACUCGCGAGGGCAAGCAAAUCCCAUAAACCGUGGCUCAGUUCAGAUCGUAGGCUGCAACUCGCCUACGUGAAGGAGGAAUCGCUAGUAAUCGCAGGUCAGCAUACUGCGGUGAAUACGUUCCCGGGCCUUGUACAC
rnacentral:rRNA from 1 species